rnacentral:rRNA from 1 species
UACAGAGGGUGCGAGCGUUAAUCGGAAUUACUGGGCGUAAAGCGUGCGUAGGUGGUUCGUUAAGUCUGAUGUGAAAGCCCUGGGCUCAACCUGGGAAUGGCAUUGGAUACUGGCGACCUAGAGUGCGGUAGAGGGGUGUGGAAUUCCCGGUGUAGCAGUGAAAUGCGUAGAUAUUCGGAAGAACACCGGUGGCGAAGGCGGCAUCCUGGACCGACAUUGACGCUGAUGAGCGAAAGCUAGGGGAGCAAACGGG